CCUACGGGAGGCAGCAGUGGGGAAUUUUGGACAAUGGGCGAAAGCCUGAUCCAGCAAUGCCGCGUGAGUGAAGAAGGCCUUCGGGUUGUAAAGCUCUUUUGUCAGGGAAGAAACGGUGCGGGCUAAUAUCCUGCACUAAUGACGGUACCUGAAGAAUAAGCACCGGCUAACUACGUGCCAGCAGCCGCGGUAAUACGUAGGGUGCAAGCGUUAAUCGGAAUUACUGGGCGUAAAGCGUGCGCAGGCGGUUUUGUAAGUCUGUCGUGAAAUCCCCGGGCUCAACCUGGGAAUUGCGAUGGAGACUGCAAGGCUAGAAUCUGGCAGAGGGGGGUAGAAUUCCACGUGUAGCAGUGAAAUGCGUAGAGAUGUGGAGGAACACCGAUGGCGAAGGCAGCCCCCUGGGUCAAGAUUGACGCUCAUGCACGAAAGCGUGGGGAGCAAACAGGAUUAGAUACCCUGGUAGUCCACGCCCUAAACGAUGUCUACUAGUUGUCGGGUUUUAAUUAACUUGGUAACGCAGCUAACGCGUGAAGUAGACCGCCUGGGGAGUACGGUCGCAAGNUUAAAACUCAAAGGAAUUGACGGNUGAGAGNGCGAGACGACGACGAGGGAGAGG
rnacentral:rRNA from 1 species